UACGGGGGGUGCAAGCGUUGUUCGGAUUUACUGGGCGUAAAGGGCGCGUAGGCGGUCAGCACAAGUCAGUUGUGAAAUCUCCGGGCUUAACUCGGAAAGGUCAACUGAUACUGUGCGACUAGAGUGCAGAAGGGGCAACUGGAAUUCUCGGUGUGGCGGUGAAAUGCGUAGAUAUCGAGAGGAACACCUGCGGCGAAGGCGGGUUGCUGGGCUGACACUGACGCUGAUGCGCGAAAGCCAGGGGAGCGAACGGG
rnacentral:rRNA from 1 species